rnacentral:lncRNA from 1 species
AACUGGGGUUGGAGGUGCUGAACAUGAAAAAUAGCAUUUAGACACUGCUGAGGCAAAUCAAAACAAAUGCUAAGCAUUACUGGACCAAUAUCUACAUCCAAUACAAAGUAUUACAACAAGCUUAGCUCUCUUUGUGUAUGUGUUUCAGUAUAAGUUUGCAAUCCUGGAAGGCUCUUUAAAAAAAGAAAAUAAAUGCAUUUGUAAGUUUUCACUACAUAAGAGAUGUUUUUUCUCUUUUGUUAUAUAGACUAUGAUUUCCAACACAAAAUGGCAACUAUACCUAUGGAGGAGGAUCAACCCUAACAUGAGGCUGGGAAUGUACAACCCACAAUCCAUUGGCUGCAUACUCCUCAAGGAUGGUGCACAGUUUCCAACAACUGCUGCUGCCAGGUCGAGUGACAGCUCCAGUAAACCCUGUGUCAUCCUGAUUUCUCAGUUGUUCUUAAAAAGUUAUGGUUUCUCUCUGUCCUUCUCUCUCUUUUCCCCUUCAUCCUAGUUUAUCUCAAUUACUGAUUAAUUCAAACUGAAAAAAGUACAUUGGGCCCUUGAUAUCUGAAGGACUGCAAUGGAAAUCAUCUGCCCUCUGCUGCUGAAUACACAUGCCCAAUGUGGAACACAUAUCUCCACAUUAAAACAGUGGAUGUGGCUCUUAAUGAGACAUACCACGUUAUCACAGGAUGUCUGUGCCUCACACCACUGCAGUAAUUAUACUGUUUAGCCAGUAUUGCACAACCUGACAUCUGCCAGGAAGUAAGAGCCAACAAUGAAAGGACCAAGGCAGUGACAUUUCCUGCCCAUCCCCUGUUCGGAUAUCAGCUAGCAUGCCAAUGCCUUAAAUCAAGAAAUAGUUUUCUAAGAUCUACAGAGAUACUCGCAGAAACACCUCAGCAAGCAAGAGUCCAAAAGUGGCAGGCUAAAACUCGGAACCUUAAGUCAUGGCUGAUACUAAAUAAGAGACUCUCUCCUGGGCACACAGAAGAUUGAGCGACUUGGAAGGCGCUGAACAGACUGUGCUCUGGCACCACAAGAUGCAGAGCCAACCUUAAGAAAUCGGGGCACAAAGUGGAAUCCAUGACAUGGGAAUGUGGAGAAGAGCAAACCACAGACCACCUACUACAAUGCAACCUGAACCCUGUCACAUGCACAAUGGAGGACCUACUUAUAGCAACACCAGAGGCAUUCCAAGUGGCCAGCUCCUGGUCAAAGGACAUUUAGUAUAAUUUCAAGUUUUAAAAACUUUGUUUGUGUUUUAAAUACAUUACAACUGUACCCUUUGUUUGCUUCUGACAUGAUAAAUAAAUCUGAAGAACUUUGUUUCCAGGACCUACUAUGUAUGGCAAAAUAAGCAGAUGCUCAACUCCCAUUAUUUACAAUAGUGUAAAAAAAAUGGCAUCCCUUAUAGGAAAUGGCAAAAUUAACAAGUGUUGUUGUUUUUUUCAAUUUUAAUAAAUCUUUUCAAAUUGUAGCUAGUUGAAUCCAUGGAAAAAGAAACAAGGGCCAACUUUAGUUAAUACUCCACUCAAGAUAAGGAAGGAAAAUACUGUAGCGUCUUAACUGAAGCUUCCUUAAGCUCAGUACAUACAUUAUAGGGUUUAUUUAGAAUAGUAUUUUUGUAUCUUCUUGUUACAUUGCCACAGCACACAGACCACAUGAUCCUGUCACUCAGCCAAAUGUCCCAAUUUUUAUUUGUGAAAUGUUGGGAAGGAAUGCCAUUGCACCAGAAAAUUGUUUGCUGGACAUCCCCUUCCUCAUCACCCACCUUUGGCCCCUCUCCAAUGAGCAUGGGGUAUGUCUGUUUUCCCUCUUGAGAGGAUGUUCUAGGAAAUAGUAUCAGAGGGCCUGUUUCUGAGGGCAGGAGGCCAAUGUGUCUCUUAGGAGAGACUCUGUAGCAGCUAUUGUCAGAGGUCUCUAUGCCCCUUCAGCACUCUCCUCAAUACGUAUAAUAAUAACUAUAGUUAGAAUAGUUACAUUGUAAUAAUUACAUUGUCAAAAGUGAGUAAUAAUUAAAAUGUAAAAGCAAUAAUAAAUUAAAUUGGAAUAAAUUAAAUUAAAUCCAAAAUGGAUCUUCCUCCCAAUUACAAUUAUGCAUUCCUCUGUGUGAAAGAGUGUUUUUGUAUUAGUACAUAUAUGGCUCCAGAGACUCCUUGUAGUGCAGUGCUUUGAAUGCUGGACUGGGACUUAGGACAGUGGUUCUCAACCUGGGGUCCCCAGAUGUUUUUGGCCUUCAACUUCCAGAAAUCCUAACAGCUGGUAAACUGGCUAGGAUUUUGGGAGUUAUAGA